rnacentral:rRNA from 1 species
CGGGAUGCCAUGGGGCGACCCAGAGCGGAACCCGAAAACGCCUCUCAGUUCGGAUCGGAGUCUGCAACCCGACUCCGUGAAGCUGGAUUCGCUAGUAAUCGCGCAUCAGCCAUGGCGCGGUGAAUACGUUCCCGGGCCUUGUACACACCGCCCGUCAAGCCAUGGGAGCCGGGAGCGCUUGAAGUGCGUCGCCGCGAGGCGCGCCCUAGAGCGAGACCGGUGACUGGGGCUAAGUCGUAACAAGGUAUC